rnacentral:rRNA from 1 species
UACGUAGGGUGCGAGCGUUAAUCGGAAUUACUGGGCGUAAAGCGUGCGCAGGCGGCUUUUUAAGCCAGAUGUGAAAUCCCCGGGCUCAACCUGGGAAUGGCAUUUGGAACUGGGGAGCUAGAGUGCGGCAGAGGGGGGUGGAAUUCCACGUGUAGCAGUGAAAUGCGUAGAGAUGUGGAGGAACACCGAUGGCGAAGGCAGCCCCCUGGGUCAAAACUGACGCUCAUGCACGAAAGCGUGGGGAGCAAACAGG